UACCUUUGGGUGGGGAAUAACAGUCGGAAACGACUGCUAAUACCGCAUAAUGCAGCGGCAUCACAUGAUGACAGUUGUUAAAGCGGGGGAUCGAAAGACCUCGCGCCAGAAGAGGAGCCUGCGGCAGAUUAGCUAGUUGGUAGGGUAAUGGCCUACCAAGGCAACGAUCUGUAGCCGGCCUGAGAGGGCGGUCGGCCACACUGACACUGACAUACGGGUCAGACUCCUACGGGAGGCAGCAGUCGGGAAUUUUGGGCAAUGGGCGAAAGCCUGACCCAGCAACGCCGCGUGAAGGAUGAAAUCUUUCGGGAUGUAAACUUCGCAAGAGUAGGAAGAAUAAGUAGAGGAUAACACCCUCUAUGAUGACGGUACUAUUUGUAAGCUCCGGCUAACUCCGUGCCAGCAGCCGCGGUAAUACGGGGGGAGCAAGCGUUGUUCGGAUUUACUGGGCGUAAAGGGCGCGUAGGCGGCGCAACAAGUCACUUGUGAAAUCUCCGGGCUUAACUCGGAACGGUCAAGUGAUACUGUUGUGCUA
rnacentral:rRNA from 1 species